AAUGAACGUUGGCGGCGUGGAUUAGGCAUGCAAGUCGAGCGAGAACCGUAGCAAUACGGGGACAGCGGCGAAAGGGAGAGGAACACGUGGAUACGUACCCUCGGGUUCAGGAUAGCCAUGGGAAACUAUGGGUAAUACUGGAUGACAUCUCCGGAUCAAAGGUGAGAUUCCGCCCGAGGAGCGGUCCGCGUCCUAUUAGCUAGUUGGCGAGGUAACGGCUCACCAAGGCAAAGAUGGGUACGGGAUGUGAGAGCAUGAUCACGCUCACUGGGACUGAGACACUGCCCAGACACCUACGGGUGGCUGCAGUCGAGAAUCUUCGGCAAUGGGGGCAACCCUGACCGAGCGACGCCGCGUGCGGGAUGAAGGCCUUCGGGUUGAAAAUCGCUGUCAGAGGGGAGGAAAUGCCGGUGGGUUCUCCCAUCGGUUUGACCUAUCCUCAGAGGAAGGACGGGCUAAGUUCGUGCCAGCAGCCGCCGCAGUAU
rnacentral:rRNA from 1 species